rnacentral:rRNA from 1 species
UACAGAGACUGCAAGCGUUAUUCGGAUUUAUUGGGCGUAAAGGGUGCGUAGGUGGCAAAGUAAGUUGGAUGUGAAAUCCUGGGGCUCAACCUCAGAAUUGCAUUCAAUACUGCUUAGCUAGAGAGCUGUAGAGGAGACUGGAAUUUACGGUGUAGCAGUGAAAUGCGUAGAUAUCGUAAGGAACGCCAGUGGCGAAAGCGAGUCUCUGGGCAGCAUCUGACACUGAGGCACGAAGGCCAGGGGAGCAAACGGG